CAGGCAAGUUCCUCCAUGGCUUGCUUCUGAGUUUACUGUGGACAGUCUGGACUAAGGCAAGGGAAGAGUUUACCCUUUUGGGAAGGCAGAACUCUGCAGGGGAAAUAGGAGAACUUCAAGAUUAAUCCUUAACUGGAAAUGGAAGAAAAAUCAGAUAAUAUCCUUUCUGCCGUCCCCUAAUACCUUCAGGAGUUCAAACGUUUUCCAAGCCCGCGGCACUUGGCAAUUCUAAUUACACAGUAAAAUACCUAAGGUUAAUGAAUAACCUCCAAAGGAAGUUACUUCACAUAAUGACAGCAAUUUCUCUGAACUAAAUGUUAAUAAUAAGGCCUGUAAUACUAUGAGAAGGAAAUGGUGGCAAUUGGCAAAUGGAACUCUGUUGCCUGGUAACAAAACCUGAGGAUUGUUUUGGAUCAGCAAUUACAUACAUAAAACAACUGGCCACUGGCAUAUAACAACAGUAGGUGGAGUCUCACUGCAUCACCAAGG